CCUAGCUCUGACGAGCUAGGCUAAGUUAAUACGUACUUACAGCACU
rnacentral:sRNA from 18 species